GGUUACCUUGUUACGACUUCCUGAGCCAUGAUCAAACUCUGGUUACCUUGUUACGACUUCCUGAGCCAUGAUCAAACUCUAAGCC
rnacentral:rRNA from 1 species